CCCUCGCUGGACUCCGGUCAGGACGGUGCAACGCCCGCUGCGCGCGGCUCCGGAGCGGUUGCAGCCCUGCGGCAGUUAGCGCUGUUAGGCCGGGUCCGCUGCCGAGAUGAAGGAAACCUGGAGAAUCUCCGCACACCUACCACACACAGCCCGCCACUAACUAAAUAUUGGAGAACAGCUGUUAGCUAUUACGGAAUGUGGCGAGUCAACGAGAUGAUCCACACAGGUCUGCGCAGAGACUAAGUUAUUUGCUAACCGGACCUUUUGCUGCAGAUGAACAUAGCCAAGUCCCUGCUGCAGUUACGUGUUCUCAACCUUCAUCUAAAACCUCCUAUUCUCACUCUUCUGAAGGAUCCAUUUCAUUCAUUUUCCAAAAUAGGAAACUGUCACAAUUCUGUUGGUUCCCAGCCCACAACUCACUUCCUCUGUGAAGCCUAAGGACUGUUUUAAGGUUUUUAGCUGCUUCUAUUUGUGAAAGGCCUUUUAAUAUCUAAAGGUGUUGUUUAAAACACAAAACAAAACUGGGCUUGCUUAAGGGCAGGAACUGUGUUCGGGUUUUUUUGUAAUCCAGUUCCAGUACAGUACAUCCCAACGCAAUCCACCCCACGAAUGGAUUUCAGUGACCAACUUACUAAGUGGUUCUUCCUUGAUAAACAAUGUUUCUUUUAAGCAAGAAACCUAUCGCGCCCUAAUUGUCCUUUUACUUUAAGCCUUAGUUCUGUGCACCUGUUUUGAACAAGCGUGUGUCUUCCUUUCCCAGCUGUGGGUGGUUUCCUCCUCUCGCCAGCUUUUUCCCCCAAAGGCCUUCCCCCAGAAAGAUGUGUGUAUUUUCCACUGAUCCUGCUUUUAACAUACGUUGUUUUCUCCUUUAUACUUUGCGUCGCUUGUCAUUUUAGAAUCCUAAGGAAUCCAAGAGUUUCUGCAAACUGUACAACUGUGUGUGUGAGGCCGCUUGCAGAACUGAAAGUUAGAAAUUUGUUUUUAAAAUUAAGGUAAGACUGAAGUGUACUCAAGAAGUAUCAAAGAAGGAAUUGCAGAGCUGGGGACAGAGAAGGAAAUGUCAUGAUCGAGAGCAAGUGGAGCCGCAGUAAGAAACAUUGCAACAGUUUUGCCCAAAAGUUUUUAUUUGAGUCAGAUGUUCCAUGUAAAUUGACGGUGCAAAAAUUAUUGUGCAAGAAAGUUCAGGUACAGAAGUUUUAAAAGCUAAGAUCUAAAAAGCAUAGGUUUGGGGCUGGAGAGAUGGCUCAGCAGUUAAGAGCACUAGGUGCUCUUCCCAGAGAUCUGGCACCUUCACAGUCACCAUGUAGUCUCUGAGCAGGAACUGUCAAAAUGGCAGCACCUGUCAAAAUGGUGGCAACAGUUAAAACGAAGAGAGUGAAGAAGAAAAAAAAAAGCACCAAUCCCUGAGCAGGAAAACCAGCCAAUCCCUGAACUCCCUAAACUCAAGGCUUGAAAUCUUACCAAUCCUGACUCUGGAAGACUCCACCCGCCCAAGAAAUCCUCUAUCUGCCUGCCUUUCGUCCAAUCCCCUGCUGUCCUCUCCCAGGAGCAAAGGGUAACCACCUCUCCACUCCUCCCUCAUCUCCCUGGAUUCAUCCUUCCAAUAAAUGUCUUUUAUGAAAUUUGCUUCCUGCUAUGACUCUUUCAUCAGAAGAGGCCAAGAAACAAUGAAGAGAAGAAGGGAAGAUACAAAGAAGUGGAGUGGGCCUGGGACUCCUGAGCCCCUCAGCUCAGCUGCGGAUAUGCUCUUCUGGGAGCUACACCGACUCUGCUGAGAAGGCUUCCUCGAAGAGCUGUGUGGUUCCUGGUCUUCCAAGUUGCAGGAUACCCUUCUAUCGAAGCAGGAAGGCCAACAGGCCACGUGUCCAUGUUGUACACAGACUUACAUUCAAGCAAAACACACAUAAAAUAAAUGAAUCCAUCUAAAAAAUA